GAUGAACGCUGACAGAAUGCUUAACACAUGCAAGUCUACUUGAACUUCGGUUUGGGUGGCGGACGGGUGAGUAACGCGUAAAGAACUUGCCUCACAGUUAGGGACAACAUUUGGAAACGAAUGCUAAUACCUGAUAUUAUGAUUUUAGGGCAUCCUAAGAUUAUGAAAGCUAUAUGCGCUGUGAGAGAGCUUUGCGUCCCAUUAGCUAGUUGGAGAGGUAACGGCUCACCAAGGCGAUGAUGGGUAGCCGGCCUGAGAGGGUGAACGGCCACAAGGGGACUGAGACACGGCCCUUACUCCUACGGGAGGCAGCAGUGGGGAAUAUUGGACAAUGGACCAAAAGUCUGAUCCAGCAAUUCUGUGUGCACGAUGACGUUUUUCGGAAUGUAAAGUGCUUCCAGUUGGGAAGAAAAAAAUGACGGUACCAACAGAAGAAGUGACGGUAA
rnacentral:rRNA from 1 species